UACGAAGGGGGCUAGCGUUGUUCGGAUUUACUGGGCGUAAAGCGCACGUAGGCGGAUCGUUAAGUCAGGGGUGAAAUCCUGGAGCUCAACUCCAGAACUGCCUUUGAUACUGGCGAUCUUGAGUUCGGGAGAGGUGAGUGGAACUGCGAGUGUAGAGGUGAAAUUCGUAGAUAUUCGCAAGAACACCAGUGGCGAAGGCGGCUCACUGGCCCGAUACUGACGCUGGAGGCACGAAAGCGUGGGGAGCAAAGCAGG
rnacentral:rRNA from 1 species